rnacentral:rRNA from 1 species
CAGGCGCGAAAACUUUACAAUGGGGGCAACCCCGAUGAGGGAAUUCCAAGUGCUAGCACUUUUUGUGUUAGCUGUUCUUUUGUCUAAAAAACAAGAGAAGUAAGGGCCGGGUAAGACGGGUGCCAGCCGCCGCGGUAAUACCCGCGGCCCGAGUGGUGGUCGAUAUUAUUGAGCCUAAAACGUUCGUAGCCGGUCUUGUAAAUCCUUGGGUAAAUCGGCCAACUUAACUGUCCGAAGUCCGGGGAGACUGCAAGACUUGGGAUCGGGAGAGGUCAGAGGUACUUCUGGGGUAGGGGUAAAAUCCUGUAAUCCUAGAAGGACCACCGGUGGCGAAGGCGUCUGACUAGAACGAAUUCGACGGUGAGGAACGAAGCCCUGGGGCGCAAACGGGAUUAGAUACCCCAGUAGUCCAGGGUGUAAACGCUGCGGGCUUGGUGUUGGGGGUCCUUAGUGGGCGCCCAGUGCCGGAGAGAAGUUGUUAAGCCUGCUGCUUGGGGAGUACGUCCGCAAAGAUGAAACUUAAAGGAAUUGGCGGGGGAGCACCGCAACGGGAGGAGCGUGCUGUUCAAUUGGAUUCAACGCCGGACAACUCACCAGGAG